rnacentral:rRNA from 1 species
GACGAACGCUGGCGGCGUGCCUAAUACAUGCAAGUUGAGCGAUGAAGAUUGGUGCUUGCACCUAUUUGAAGAGCAGCGAACGGGUGAGUAACGCGUGGGGAAUCUGCCUUUGAGCGGGGGACAACAUUUGGAAACGAAUGCUAAUACCGCAUAACAACUUUAAACAUAUGUUUUAAGUUUGAAAGAUGCAAUUGCAUCACUCAAAGAUGAUCCCGCGUUGUAUUAGCUAGUUGGUGAGGUAAAGGCUCACCAAGGCGAUGAUACAUAGCCGACCUGAGAGGGUGGUCGGCCACAAUGGGACGGAGAAACGGCCCAAACUUCUACGGGAAGGAGCAGGAGGGAAACCUCGGCAAUGGAGGAAAGGCUGACCGAGCAAAGCCGGGUGAGGGAAGGAGGGUGUCGGAUCGGAAAAAUCUGUUGGUAGAGGAGAAAGUUGGUGAGAGUGGAAAGCGCAUCAAGUGACGGUAACUAACCAGAAAGGCACGGCUAACUACGUG